UACGUAGGGUGCAAGCGUUGUCCGGAUUUAUUGGGCGUAAAGAGCGUGUAGGCGGCCAGGUAGGUCUGCUGUGAAAACUCGAGGCUUAACCUCGAGCUGUCGGCGGAAACCAUCUGGCUAGAGUCCGGAAGAGGAGAAUGGAAUUCACGGUGUAGCAGUGAAAUGCGUAGAUAUCGUGAGGAAGACCGGUGGCGAAGGCGGAUCUCUGGACAGUUCCUGACGCUGAGGCGCGAAGGCCAGGGGAGCAAACGGG
rnacentral:rRNA from 1 species